rnacentral:rRNA from 1 species
GACGAACGCUGGCGGCGUGCUUAACACAUGCAAGUCGAACGGAAAGGCCCUGCUUUUGUGGGGUGCUCGAGUGGCGAACGGGUGAGUAACACGUGAGUAACCUGCCCUUGACUUUGGGAUAACUUCAGGAAACUGGGGCUAAUACCGGAUAGGAGCUCCUGCUGCAUGGUGGGGGUUGGAAAGUUUCGGCGGUUGGGGAUGGACCCGCGGCUUAUCAGCUUGUUGGUGGGGUAGUGGCUUACCAAGGCUUUGACGGGUAGCCGGCCUGAGAGGGUGACCGGCCACAUUGGGACUGAGAUACGGCCCAGACUCCUACGGGAGGCAGCAGUGGGGAAUAUCGCACAAUGGGCGGAAGCCUGAUGCAGCAACGCCGCGUGCGGGAUGACGGCCUUCGGGUUGUAAACCGCUUUCGCCUGUGACGAAGCGUGAGUGACGGUAAUGGGUAAAGAAGCACCGGCUAACUACGUG